rnacentral:lncRNA from 1 species
AAACUUUCAAACAGCCUAUCCUAUUUGAUUGGAAACUAGAGUAUUGUGAAGAUUGUAGGAUGGUAGGGCAUUAAUGUUUAAAGAAAAUAUCUCAGCACCCCUUCACCUAAAGCAAAACCACCUCAACCUCCUAAACCCCAACCAAAAUUAAUAGCUGCUUGGUUGCCUAGGGAAGUAGCAUAAUCGGGUAUUCACCAACCUCAGGCAAAGAAGGUGAUGCAACAAGCUCCUGUGAACAUUGAUUGUUUCACCUGACUCAACUGAAGUUUUUACACCUAUAACAGGUAAUAGUAAGCAUGGCAUCAAGGGGAAGAAUGUGGCUGAAAGUAGUGCCUCAAAAAGUUAUGCUCAAGUUAUAUCAGUGGUCACAAGAAAUGGUUUUGAGGCUUUACAAACUAACUAGGUUGUGUUGGCUUAUAAUUCACCACAAAAUGAAGGUGAAAGUAAUGGACCUUCUUCUACUCUCUAGUGUUUUGGUUAGUGUGGAAUGAUCAAGGUAUUAAUAAAAAUAAUAAGCAGAGGGAGUUGAAUAAGUACAUUAAGGAUAAUCAUAUGCCUUAAUACCUGACUAGUGUUUUGUUCAUAAUUAUGCUGGUGUUGUCAAUAGUAGAGUAUGGGUUGGCUGGGAUGAAGUUGUAUAUGAGGUCAAAUUGAUUUAGCAAAAUGCUCAAUACAUUCAUUGUCAAGUUUUAAGCAGGG